UCGGGAAUAUUGCGCAAUGGAGGAAACUCUGACGCAGUGACGCCGCGUGCAGGAAGAAGGUUUUCGGAUUGUAAACUGCUUUAGACAGGGAAGAAAAAAGACAGUACCUGUAGAAUAAGCUCCGGCUAACUACGUGCCAGCAGCCGCGGUAAUACGUAGGGAGCAAGCGUUAUCCGGAUUUAUUGGGUGUAAAGGGUGCGUAGACGGGAAAACAAGUUAGUUGUGAAAUCCCUCGGCUUAACUGAGGAACUGCAACUAAAACUAUUUUUCUUGAGUGCUGGAGAGGAAAGUGGAAUUCCUAGUGUAGCGGUGAAAUGCGUAGAUAUUAGGAGGAACACCAGUGGCGAAGGCGACUUUCUGGACAGUAACUGACGUUGAGGCACGAAAGUGUGGGGAGCAAACAGGAUUAAUACCC
rnacentral:rRNA from 1 species